rnacentral:rRNA from 1 species
AGAGUUUGAUCCUGGCUCAGAUUGAACGCUGGCGGCAUGCUUUACACAUGCAAGUCGAACGGCAGCACGGGGGCAACCCUGGUGGCGAGUGGCGAACGGGUGAGUAAUACAUCGGGAACGUAUCCUUGAGUGGGGGAUAACGCAGCGAAAAGUUGUGCUAAUACCGCAUGAGCUCUGAGGAGGGAAAGUGGGGGGACCGUAAGGCCUCACGCUGAAGGGGGCGGCCCGAUGUCCGAUUAGCUAGUUGGUGAGGUAAAGGCUCACCAAAGGCUUCGAUCGGUAGCUGGUUCUGAGAGGAUGAUCAGCCACACUGGGGACUGAGACACGGCCCCAGACUCCUACGGGGAGGCAGCCAGUGGGGAAUUUUGGACAAAUGGGGGCAAACCCCUGAUCCAGCCCAUGCCGCGUGAGUGAAGAAGGCCCUUCGGGUUGUAAAGCUCUUUCGUGAGGGAAGAAACGGCCAUAGUGAAUAGCUGUGGUUACUGACGGUACCUCAAGAAGAAGCUCCGGCUAACUACGUGCCAGCCGCCGCGGU